GACUCCGUGGCCAAGCUGGCUAAGGCGUAAGACUGUUAGUAUUCUAACUGUCAUCUUAAGAUCGUGAGUUCGAUCCUCACCGGGGUCG
rfam:Tortispora caseinolytica NRRL Y-17796 unplaced genomic scaffold CANCAscaffold_2, whole genome shotgun sequence.